GCAGGCAGCUGCUUAACUCCUUGUGAGUGUGGAGCAAGAUGAACCCAAACAUCCCCUGCACGUGAGGAAUUAGCCCUCAUCUAUCAAUGAUUAAAGCUGUCCUGUCCAGAGUGUGCAUUUCCUUUGAAGAUAAAAGCUUUUGACUUUCUUAAAGGUAAGAACAGAGCUGAUGUAAAUGAAGAAUUUCCAUUUGAUGGGCAAAGGCACUUUAAAUGUGGUUUCCUUCUGAUUCACUUAAAAAAAGAAAAAGACUUAAAAUUUCCUGCAUACAAAAGACCAACAUCUGACUAAAACUGAUAUCAACUGUUAGUGUCACUACUGCCCACUGCUGAAAGCUGUAAGGAAAUUGCUAUAUCCAACUGCUCAGGUAAACUGGGCUCCAAGAUCCUUCAUCUCAAAGCAGAAAAUACAAACUACAACAAACAACAACAAAUGCAGGUGUGCUGCACUGGAGACUUAACUGUAUCUGUAUCCUCAGACUCAUGAUGUAUCCAACAGACUCAUUCAGUUCUCAUGAUGAAUGCCUCCAGAGACUACAGCAAUUGUGACUUCAGCUACACCUGGUCCCAGAAAGAUCAAAUAAAAGUAAAUUAGAUUGUCCAGUGGCAGAGAAAUUAUUUUGCCAAGUCCUAUUUUAUGGCUGUUUUACUUAAAAGCUUUUGUCUAGUCUAUUCCUGAAACAUUCAUUCUUGAUAAGGAAGAACAUUUUCUGCCCCACUUUGUACCUUCUUCCCUGCUUUUGAAGGCUGUUAGCACAUCUUGUUUUCUGCAAGCAAUCUGCAUCCCACAGCCGCUAGGACUCCUACCCCAAAGCACCAACGUUACUUGCUGAGCCCUGCCUCUGGGCUCCUGCAAACCCAGAUAUGACAACACUGGAGCUGAAAGAUAGGAGAAAUUAAGCUGUCCUAAUCAUAUAGCAUCCCUUGAUCUUUCAGGAGAUGGACUUAUAAAUUAAUACCUCUUCAGGGAAGCUGAAGGAGCAGUGAGAACUGGUUAAAGUCCACCAGCUUCCAGAACUCCACUGAAGUUUACAGUGAAGAUGUGCACGUUGAGUCCUAAAAAGGCCUUUCCUCCUCCUAACCAAGGAGUGAAGGCCACUUACACAAUAAAAACCAGCUGGGCCUCCUGGUUUCGACUCUGGGGACCUGCGAGGUGCCCGCCUAUGCUCUGUAAGGAACAGCUUCCCUGACCUCAUCAGCUCCAGCAGCAGCUCCUCCAACCUCUGUGUCAACUAAAAAAAGACUGCUGACUUCCUGUGCCUCACCACAGAUUUCCUGCCUUUCUGUGAAGUUCUCAUGAGCCUUUUUCUAAUUCUUGACUUCUGUUUCAAUCCUUUGGUAGCUUUCCAUUUCAACUCAAGGCAAAUGUUGCCCAAAUGACCAUCAUAAGGUCCAGUUGAGGAGGUCAUUUUCUGAAGCUGCUCACACCUCUAAUUUAAGUGCUUGCUCACUGCUGUCUGUCACCUAGGAUGAGAGCAAUGGAGACAUUAUUUCAAGAAGUGUGAGACACCUGUCACGAUGCUGAAAUUUUCCACAAAUUAUGAGAUCAUUCUUGCCUUGUCUAAUUCAGCGUUUGUUGAGGAAAUCAGUGCAAGAAUCUGCUAAGCAAAUACCAUAACUAUUUGGGAUAUUAGUUUAGCUUUCAUUUUGUGUUGAUCAGAAAGAUGCUUGAAUUGCUUCCAUCAACUCUCAGUGCUUCCCUGGAGCUACAUUACCCAUUGCCAAGUGAGCUAUCCUGGCAUCAAACCACAAUAUACCCAGCUCCAAAACGUCCCAGCUACGUUGAGUAAGCAGAAACUCCCCCUCCUUUCAUCACAGUUCACAUGUCCUUGCUUCCUGUGUCUGGGCAGGAACAUUCUUCCUCCUCCUUCAUUUACCUAGAUUUGAAGAUGCAUUGACGCCUGGAGUUUUCACCUUGUCUGGAGCUUUGUCUGGUUUUCACUGGUGAAGUCAUCACCCAGUUCUCAUUAUUACAAGCAGAACUACUGCUUAGAGGAAUAGAGAAGAGAUAUAUAUAUAUACACACACACACAUAUAUUUUAAUCUGUACCUCCGAGCAAACUGGGGAGAUGAUGAAUCCACAGCGAUCAUCCAAUCUGGCGUGUCCAAAAAUGUAAGAAGUUUUUGAUGAAUCAUCAUUUUGAGAACAAGUAAUUUUGAUAACUGUGGAACCAAGAAAGUCUGUCGCUUUCUGUCUUGUGGUUGCCUUAUCCCAGAGCUAGAAGGGCAUGAGCUAGUUCAACGAGGCUUUUCUUGAAGCUGAAGCAUUUCCUUUCCCUCCUUUUGGCAUCUAAUGACACAGGUGAGUUUAAAUUGGCUGGCUCAGGAUGUCACAAAACAAACUCCUC
ensembl:lncRNA